rnacentral:rRNA from 1 species
UGGGGAAUUUUGGACAAUGGGCGAAAGCCUGAUCCAGCAAUGCCGCGUGUGUGAAGAAGGCCUUCGGGUUGUAAAGCACUUUUGUCCGGAAAGAAAUCCUUGGCUCUAAUACAGUCGGGGGGAUGACGGUACCGGAAGAAUAAGCACCGGCUAACUACGUGCCAGCAGCCGCGGUAAUACGUAGGGUGCAAGCGUUAAUCGGAAUUACUGGGCGUAAAGCGUGCGCAGGCGGUUUGCUAAGACCGAUGUGAAAUCCCCGGGCUCAACCUGGGAACUGCAUUGGUGACUGGCAGGCUAGAGUAUGGCAGAGGGGGGUAGAAUUCCACGUGUAGCAGUGAAAUGCGUAGAGAUGUGGAGGAAUACCGAUGGCGAAGGCAGCCCCCCUGGGCCAAUACUGACGCUCAUGCACGAAAGGCGUGGGGGAGCAAACAGGAUUAGAUACCCUGGUAGUCCCACGCCCUAAACGAUGUCAACUAGUUGUUGGGGAUUCAUUUCCUAGUAACGUAGCUAACGCGUGAAGUUGACCGCCUGGGGAGUACGGUCGCAAGAUU